GAUGAACGCUGGCGGCGUGCCUAAUACAUGCAAGUCGAGCGAACAGACGAGGAGCUUGCUCCUUUGACGUUAGCGGCGGACGGGUGAGUAACACGUAGAUAACCUACCUAUAAGACUGGGAUAACUUCGGGAAACCGGAGCUAAUACCGGAUAACAUGUUGAACCGCAUGGUUCAACAGUGAAAGACGGUCUUGCUGUCACUUAUAGAUGGAUCCGCGCCGCAUUAGCUAGUUGGUAAGGUAACGGCUUACCAAGGCAACGAUGCGUAGCCGACCUGAGAGGGUGAUCGGCCACACUGGAACUGAGACACGGUCCAGACUCCUACGGGAGGCAGCAGUAGGGAAUCUGCCGCAAUGGGCGAAAGCCUGACGGAGCAACGCCGCGUGAGUGAAGAAGGUCUUCGGAUCGUAAAACUCUGUUAUUAGGGAAGAACAAAUGUGUAAGUAACUAUGCACGUCUUGACGGUACCUAAUCAGAAAGCCACGGCUAACUACGU
rnacentral:rRNA from 1 species